AUAUUUACUAGCAGGGGAGAUACCAUGAUCACGAAGGUGGUGGUCCCAGGGCAAGGCUCACCCAUUGCACUCUGGAUGUGCUGGCCCCUACAAUUCCCCAAAUGUCAGAAACUUGACUGCAUAAUUUGUGGUAGUGAGGGAAUGAGUUUGCACUUUCCCCUG
rnacentral:snRNA from 1 species